AUUGAACGCUGGCGGCAGGCUUAACACAUGCAAGUCGAGCGGGGUGAUGGUGCUCGCACUAUCACUUAGCGGCGGACGGGUGAGUAAUGCUUAGGAAUCUGCCUAUUAGUGGGGGACAACAUCUCGAAAGGGAUGCUAAUACCGCAUACGUCCUACGGGAGAAAGCAGGGGAUCACUUGUGACCUUGCGCUAAUAGAUGAGCCUAAGUCGGAUUAGCUAGUUGGUGGGGUAAAGGCCUACCAAGGCGACGAUCUGUAGCGGGUCUGAGAGGAUGAUCCGCCACACUGGGACUGAGACACGGCCCAGACUCCUACGGGAGGCAGCAGUGGGGAAUAUUGGACAAUGGGGGGAACCCUGAUCUAGCCAUGCCGCGUGUGUGAAGAAGGCCUUAUGGUUGUAAAGCACUUUAAGCGAGGAGGAGGCUCUUUUGGUUAAUACCCAAGAUGAGUGGACGUUACUCGCAGAAUAAGCACCGGCUAACUCUGUGCCAGCCGCCGCAGUAA
rnacentral:rRNA from 1 species